AUUGAACGCUGGCGGCAGGCCUAACACAUGCAAGUCGAACGGGUGGCGUACGUGUGAGUAAGGACUGUGCAACUGCCUGAUGGAGGGGGAUCACUACUGGGCACGAUAGCUACUACCGCAUACCAUCAGAUGUGCCCAGAUGGGAUUAGCUAGUGGGUGGGGUAACGGCUUACCAAGGCGACGAUCCCUAGCUGGUCUGAGAGGAUGACCAGCCACACUGGAACUGAGACACGGUCCAGACUCCUACGGGAGGCAGCAGUGGGGAAUAUUGCACAAUGGGCGAAAGCCUGAUACAGCCAUGCCGCGUGUAUGAAGAAGGUCUUCGGAUUGUAAAGUACUUUAAGUGGGGAGGCGUUACCCGCAGAAGAAGCACCGGCUAACUCCGUGCCAGCAGCCGCGGUAAUAC
rnacentral:rRNA from 1 species